CCCAGAGGUAUUGAUUGGUGAAUCAUCAACGUGCUCUGUAUGUUGAUACCGAUUAAAUUUGCACCAACCUACGCGGAUGCGUAGGUUUUUUUU
rfam:Rahnella aquatilis CIP 78.65 = ATCC 33071, complete genome.